GGCGCAAAUUUGAAGUAGAGUACAUUAGUGUGGUCAGAUGAUCUUACUUAUCGACUCUACCUCGAAUUCGGGCUC
rnacentral:pre_miRNA from 1 species